GAUGAACGCUGACAGAAUGCUUAACACAUGCAAGUCGAGCGAAGUUUUUCUGGUGCUUGCACUAGAAAAACUUAGCGGCGAACGGGUGAGUAACACGUAAAGAACCUGCCUCAUAGACUGGGACAACUAUUGGAAACGAUAGCUAAUACCGGAUAACAGUAUUUCUCGCAUGAGAGAUAUUUAAAAGUUGGUUAUGCUAACACUAUGAGAUGGCUUUGCGGUGCAUUAGCUAGUUGGUGGGGUAAAGGCCCACCAAGGCGACGAUGCAUAGCCGACCUGAGAGGGUGAUCGGCCACACUGGGACUGAGACACGGCCCAGACUCCUACGGGAGGCAGCAGUAGGGAAUCUUCCGCAAUGGGCGAAAGCCUGACGGAGCAACGCCGCGUGAGUGAAGAAGGAUUUCGGUUCGUAAAGCUCUGUUGUUAGGGAAGAAUGGAUAUGUAGUAACUAUACAUGUAAGAGACGGUACCUAACCAGAAAGCCACGGCUAACUACGUGCCAGCAGCCGCGGUAAUACGUAGGUGGCAAGCGUUGUCCGGAAUUAUUGGGCGUAAAGCGCGCGCAGGUGGUUUAAUAAGUCUGAUGUGAAAGCCCACGGCUCAACCGUGGAGGGUCAUUGGAAACUGUUAAACUUGAGUGCAGGAGAGAAAAGUGGAAUUCCUAGUGUAGUGGUGAAAUACGUAGAUAUUAGGAGGAAUACCAGUAGCGAAGGCGACUUUCUGGACACAAACUGACGCUGAGGUACGAAAGCGUGGGGAGCAAACAGG
rnacentral:rRNA from 1 species